rnacentral:rRNA from 1 species
AUUGCACGCUGGCGGAAUGCUUUACACAUGCAAGUCGAACGGCAGCACGGACUUCGGUCUGGUGGCGAGUGGCGAACGGGUGAGUAAUGUAUCGGAACGUGCCCAGUCGUGGGGGAUAACGUAGUGAAAAUUACGCUAAUACCGCAUACGAUCUAUGGAUGAAAGCGGGGGAUCGCAAGACCUCGCGCGAUUGGAGCGGCCGAUAUCAGAUUAGGUAGUUGGUGGGGUAAAGGCCCACCAAGCCAACGAUCUGUAGCUGGUCUGAGAGGACGAACAGCCACACUGGAACUGAGACACGGUCCAGACUCCUACGGGAGGCAGCAGUGGGGAAUUUUGGACAAUGGACGCAAGUCUGAUCCAGCCAUUCCGCGUGCAGGAUGAAGGCCCUCGGGUUGUAAACUGCUUUUGUACGGAACGAAAAGGUCUCUCUUAAUACGGGGGGCUCAUGACGGUACCGUAAGAAUAAGCACCGGCUAACUACGUGCCAGCCGCCGCCGUAA